rnacentral:sRNA from 12 species
UGCUAUGGCUACAUAGUGCGGAACCAAAACCGCCUAAGUGAAGCGACUGCCAAGAAACAUAUAGUGGUUUUAUAUGUGAAUAAAGAUGAAAGAGGGGAGCCGAACUGAUACAGCUCAGUAUAAAUAGGGGGCGACCACCGUUAAACAAUACGAGAAAAACUGAUCUGUCUGGUAAAGUUCAGUAAUGUAUCUCGGUUGCCAAAAAACUAAGUGUUAACGGCAUCUUAUUCUAGCAACAGUUUCGGGUAAACAAAUUUGGGGAUAGCUGUCUGCGAAACCACCGCAGGCGGCUUUUC